rnacentral:rRNA from 1 species
AAUCAACGCUGGCGGCGUGCCUCAGACAUGCAAGUCGAACGAUUAAAGCUCUCUUCGGAGAGUGUAUAGAGUGGCGCACGGGUGAGUAACACGUAAGUAAUCUACCCUCGAGUGGGGAAUAACGUCCGGAAACGGACGCUAAUACCGCAUAAUGCAGCGGCACCGCAAGGUGACAGUUGUUAAAGGAGAAAUUCGCUUGAGGAGGAGCUUGCGGCAGAUAGCUUGUUGGUAAGGUAACGGCUUACCAAGGCUACGAUCUGUAACCGGUCUUAGAGGACGGUCGGUCACACUGACACUGAAUAACGGGGUCAGACUCCUACGGGAGGCAGCAGUCGGGAAUUUUGGGCAAUGGGCGAAAGCCUGACCCAGCAACGCCGCGUGAAGGAUG